rnacentral:tRNA from 1 species
GAGGGUAUAGUUCAAGUGGUAGAGCACAUGCUUAGCAUGCACGAGGUCCAUGCAUGAGGUCCUGGGUUCAGUCCCCAGUACUUCCU